AUUGAACGCUGGCGGCAUGCCUAACACAUGCAAGUCGAACGGAAACGAUGGAAGCUUGCUUCCAGGCGUCGAGUGGCGGACGGGUGAGUAAUACUUAGGAAUCUGCCCAUUAGUGGGGGACAACUCGGGGAAACUCGAGCUAAUACCGCAUACGCCCUACGGGGGAAAGCGGAGGACCUUUCGGGGCUUCGCGCUAAUGGAUGAGCCUAAGUCGGAUUAGCUUGUUGGUGAGGUAAAGGCUCACCAAGGCGACGAUCCGUAGCUGGUCUGAGAGGACGAUCAGCCACACUGGGACUGAGACACGGCCCAGACUCCUACGGGAGGCAGCAGUGGGGAAUAUUGGACAAUGGGCGAAAGCCUGAUCCAGCAAUGCCGCGUGUGUGAAGAAGGCCUGCGGGUUGUAAAGCACUUUCAGUAGAGAAG
rnacentral:rRNA from 1 species